rnacentral:rRNA from 1 species
AGCGAACGCUGGCGGCAGGCCUAACACAUGCAAGUCGAACGAAGUCUUCGGACUUAGUGGCGGACGGGUGAGUAACACGUGGGAACGUGCCUUUAGGUUCGGAAUAACUCAGGGAAACUUGUGCUAAUACCGAAUGUGCCCUUCGGGGGAAAGAUUUAUCGCCUUUAGAGCGGCCCGCGUCUGAUUAGCUAGUUGGUGAGGUAAAGGCUCACCAAGGCGACGAUCAGUAGCUGGUCUGAGAGGAUGAUCAGCCACAUUGGGACUGAGACACGGCCCAAACUCCUACGGGAGGCAGCAGUGGGGAAUCUUGCGCAAUGGGCGAAAGCCUGACGCAGCCAUGCCGCGUGAAUGAUGAAGGUCUUAGGAUUGUAAAAUUCUUUCACCGGGGACGAUAAUGACGGCACCCGGAGAAGAAACCCCGGCUAACUUCGUGCCAGCAGCCGCGGUAACAC